rnacentral:rRNA from 1 species
UUGAACGCUGGCGGCAGGCCUAACACAUGCAAGUCGCGCGGAUGAAGGGAGCUUGCUCCUGGAUUCAGCGGCGGACGGGUGAGUGAUGCCUAGGAAUCUGCCUGGUAGUGGGGGAUAACGUCCGGAAACGGGCGCUAAUACCGCAUACGUCCUGAGGGAGAAAGUGGGGGAUCUUCGGACCUCACGCUAUCAGAUGAGCCUAGGUCGGAUUAGCUAGUUGGUGGGGUAAAGGCCUACCAAGGCGACGAUCCGUAACUGGUCUGAGAGGAUGAUCAGUCACACUGGAACUGAGACACGGUCCAGACUCCUACGGGAGGCAGCAGUGGGGAAUAUUGGACAAUGGGCGAAAGCCUGAUCCAGCCAUGCCGCGUGUGUGAAGAAGGUCUUCGGAUUGUAAAGCACUUUAAGUUGGGAGGAAGGGCAGUAAGUUAAUACCUUGCUGUUUUGACGUUACCAACAGAAUAAGCACCGGCUAACUUCGUG